AGAAAACCUGUGUUUUAUCAUUGAAUUGAAGCAAAUGGAUAUCCACAGAAGACCUAAUUGCCAUUUGCUCCAAUUCAGCUGCAAAACUUGGGUUUUCC